GUUUUGUGAAAGCCGUGUUCUAAUGAACAAGUAAUUCUUUCUUUUAAAAUAUUCCUUUUAAUUCUAAUUUAAAGUUUCUUAAGUAAAAAUAUAGCUCUUCAAUAAUAAUAUUAUAAUGUGUUUCUCUUCUAAAAUAAACAGAUUUUAUACUCAUUAUUUUAAAAUGUGAUCAAAACCACAUAAUUGUUUUUAGUCUUCUGAUUGGGAUUUUUAAAAAGAAAAUUCAAAGUUUGGCAUUAAAUAUAUUUUCUGUAAGAUAAUAUAACUACAUAUGAUAAAAUGAUUAAGUACUCUGAUAGUGUCACUAUUUCAAUACCAUUAUUAUCUUUAACAUAUGUUAAAACACUCCAGUACAUAACUAAUAAAGAGGAAUUCACAUGGCCAGCAAUUUUAAACUGGUGCAGCAAACUUAUCUUUUGUGUUUGCAAACAUAAGAGAACUGAAGAAGCAAGAUGCAAACAAUGUCUCCGUUGUUCAGCAUGUGUUUUAUGAUAUAAUACAUUCGUUCAUGUUGUGUUAUACAAAUUUUGCAGGGAGGGUUGCUCGUUUUAUCAAUUUGUGUAUUUUUUAUUUCAUAUUUUGUACGCAAUCAUGAGCAUUUUUCUUAUAAAUUGUACACAACAAGAACCUGUUGAAGAUUAGAAGGAAGGAGCAGCACAUACUUUUAGCAAUCCUUUUAUCUUACCAAUCACUGGAAGAAAAUGAUGCCAAGAAGCCAUGUGAGAUAUCAUCUCUGUCUGUCAUGUUUUCAGAACAGAGUGUGGCUUACUAAUGUUGCCAUUGCAGGCUAUGCUUUGUCAAGUGAAUACGGUUUUCAUCUUAAGGGGAUAGUAAGCAAGAUGUUAGCAAUACUCACUCAUCUUCAGAUUUCAUUGUCAAAUAUACUAAUAUUUCAAAAAUAUGGUUUUCAUCUAGAAAAAAAUGGAGAUUUUGAGUGUACAAAUAUAGCCAAUGCAGGUUAAAUUUAAACAGAGAUUUUUUUUUAAUCUCUCCCUUUUUUAUACUUUUUUUUUUUUUUUUUGAGACAGAGUCUUGCCCUGUCACCCAGGCUUCAGUGCAAUGGUGCAAUCUCGACUCACUGCAACCUCCGCCUCCCAGGUUCUAGUGAUUCUCCUGCCUCAGCCUCCCAAGUAGCUGGGAUUACAGGCACGCGCUACCACACCUGGCUAAUUUUUGUAUCUUUAGUAGAGACAGGUUUCACCAUGUUGGUCAGGCUGGUAUCGAACUCCUGACCUCAUGAUCCACCCGCCUCGGACUCCCGAAGUGCUGGGAUUACAGGCAUAAGCCACCACACCUGGCCCCCUUUUUUAUACUUUUUACAAGUAAUCUGACACUAGGUGCCACAUAAUUAAGAUAAAGACAAAAGUGCAAAACCAUGUAAAAUAUUGACUUCUAAUUGUGAAUUAGUUUCCCUUUUCUACUUGUUUUGCCUUGUUGGAUAUGAAACAUUUCAAGUAUGUCAUUGUAGGAUUAUUUUUGACAUUUUAUUCUUAGAAUGGUGAUUUAGUUGCAUAAUUCUCAUUUGCUAUACCACUUUUCUAAAAAAUAAAUGUUUGAAUUAUUGAAAUAUCCCAAGAUACUCCUUGUUAUAUAAUUGUAGAUCAUUACUUUAUUUUCAGACAAAUUAUGCUAUUGUGGAUAAAUAUUCAAUGUAUAAAAUACAGGACUUCUUUUUUCCUGUUUUACAAAACUCCAGUGCCCUUUCUUAUCUACUAUUUUAAUAUUCCUUUGCUAUAGUAUAUUGCAUAAUGUGGAGUCAACUAUUUUUUACAAUAUGUACGUGUUGAUCUGAAAGUUCCUAUUGAGUUAAAUAAUGAAAAAUAAUUUGGUGGACCAUGAAUUUUAAAUUUGUUAAAAAUUGUUUUAUUUGUGUAUGUGUAUAAAAUUAAAUUUUGCAAAUUGGUAAAUUUAUUCUUCAUUUAACCUUGUUGCUUUGAGUACUCCUAAAGCUUGUAAUAAUUCUUUGGGGAGUAAUAUAAAAUAUAUCAUUCAUAAGUGAAUUUUGCCUUACCAUUAUUCAAGAAU
rnacentral:lncRNA from 1 species